rnacentral:rRNA from 1 species
CCUACGGGAGGCAGCAGUGAGGAAUAUUGGUCAAUGGGCGGGAGCCUGAACCAGCCAAGCCGCGUGAAGGAAGAAGGCGCCAGGCGUCGUAAACUUCUUUUGUCGGGGAACAAAGGGCGCCACGUGUGGCGUUGUGAGUGUACCCGAAGAAAAAGCAUCGGCAAACUCCGCGCCAGCAGCCGCGGUAAGACGGAGGAUGCGAGCGUUAUCCGGAUUUAUUGGGUUAAAAGGGUGCGUAGGCGGUCCGGAAAGUCAGCGGGAAAAGCCCGGGGCUAAACCCCGGCGAGCCGUUGAAACUGGCGGACUAGAGACGGCGAGAAGUACGCGGAAUGCGCGGUGUAGCGGUGAAAUGCAUAGAUAUCGCGCAGAACUCCGAUUGCGAAGGCAGCGUACCGGCGCCGGACUGACGCUGAGGCACGAAAGCGUGGGUAUCGAACAGGAUUAGAUACCCCAGUAGUC